rnacentral:tRNA from 1 species
CCUGGUGGCUCAGAUGGUAAAGCGUCUGCCUGCAACGCGGGAGACCCAGGUUCAAUUCCUGGGUCAGGA